AAGAGGAAGCGAAAACCAAUCGCAAUCAGCUUCGACCUGACUUUUGAUCAAAAAUUAUCCCUCUUGA
rnacentral:tRNA from 1 species